UAAAUUGAUGAAUAGACACCACAAUAGUCUUUUAACUAUCCGGUGAUGAUUCUUCUGAAUAUGUGCCGCGGAUAACAUCAUGCAUCACCAUCUGAUU
rnacentral:snoRNA from 1 species